rnacentral:rRNA from 1 species
AUUGAACGCUGGCGGCAGGCCUAACACAUGCAAGUCGAGCGAGCGGCGGACGGGUGAGUAAUGUAUGGGGACUGCCCGAUAGAGGGGGAUAACUACUGGAAACGGUAGCUAAUACCGCAUACUAUCGGAUAACCCAUAUGGGAUUAGCUAGUAGGUGAGGUAAUGGCUCACCUAGGCGACGAUCCCUAGCUGGUCUGAGAGGAUGAUCAGCCACACUGGGAUUUGUACACGGCCCAGACUCCUCCGGAGGCAGCAGUGGGGAAUAUGGCACACAGGGCGCAAGCCUGAUGCAGCCAUGCCGCGUGUAUGAAGAAGGCCCUAGGGCUGUCAAGUAAUUUCAGUCGGGAGGCGUUCCCGACCGAAGAAGCCCCGGCCAACUCCUUGUCAGCAGCCGCGGUAAUUC